rnacentral:misc_RNA from 1 species
GAUGAAGAACGUAGUGAAAUGCGAUAAGUAAUGUGAAUUGCAGAAUUCAGUGAAUCAUCGAAUCUUUGAACGCACCUUGCGCCCUUUGGCCAUUCCGAAGGGCAUGCCUGGUUGAGUAUCAUGAACACCUCAACUCUUCAUGGUUUUCCAUGAUGAGCUUGGACUUUGGGGGUCUUGCUGGCCUGUGGGUCGGCUCCUCUCAAAUGAAUCAGCUUGCCGGUUUUUGGUGGGCAUCACAGGUGUGAUAACUAUCUACGCUUGUGGUUUUCCACCAGGGUAACCUUCAGCAGUGGAGGUUCACUGGAGCUUACAAAUGUCUCUCCUCUGUGAGGACAGCCCUUUGAAUGUUUGAUCUCAAAUCAGGUAGGACUACCCGCUGAACUUAAGCAUAUCAAUAAGCGGAGGA